GCUAACAUGCAAGUCGAGGGGCAGCACAUAGGGUAGCAAUACCCUUGGUGGCGACCGGCGCACGGGUGAGUAACGCGUAUGCAACCUACCUAUCAGCGGAGGAUAACCCGGCGAAAGUCGGACUAAUACUCCAUAAAACAGGGGCCCCGCAUGGGGAUAUUUGUUAAAGAUUUAUUACUGAUAGAUGGGCAUGCGUUCCAUUAGCUUGUUGGUGAGGUAACGGCUCACCAAGGCAUCGAUGGAUAGGGGUUCUGAGAGGAAGGUCCCCCACACUGGUACUGAGACACGGACCAGACUCCUACGGGAGGCAGCAGUGAGGAAUAUUGGUCAAUGGGCGAGAGCCUGAACCAGCCAAGUCGCGUGAAGGAUGACGGAUCUAUGGUUUGUAAACUUCUUUUAUACGGGAAUAAAGUGCAGCACGUGUGUUGUUUUGUAUGUACCGUAAUGAAUAAGCAUCGGCUAACUCCGUGCCAGCAGCCGCGGUAAUACGGAGGAUGCGAGCGUUAUCCGGAUUUAUUGGGUUUAAAGGGUGCGUAGGUGGUAGAUUAAGUCAGCGGUGAAAGUUUGUCGCUCAACGAUAAAAUUGCCAUUGAAACUGGUUUACUUGAGUAUAUUUGAAGUAGGCGGAAUGCGUGGUGUAGCGGUGAAAUGCAUAGAUAUCACGCAGAACUCCGAUUGCGAAGGCAGCUUACUAAGUUAUAACUGACACUGAAGCACGAAAGCGUGGGUAUCAAACAGGAUUAGAUACCCUGGUAGUCCACGCAGUAAACGAUGAUUACUAGCUGUUUGCGAUAUAUUGUAAGUGGCACAGCNAAAGCGUUAAGUAAUCCCACCUGGGGAGUACNCCGGCAACGGUGAAACUCAAAGGAAUUGACGGGGGCCCNCNCAAGCGGAGGAACAUGUGGUUUAAUUCGAUGAUACNCNAGGAACCNUACCCGGGAUUGAAAUGUACCCUGAAUAUAGUGGAAAACUUUAUAGCCNGCCAUGGCCAGGUAUGUAGGUGCCUGCAUGGNUUGNCNUCNCCCUCCNUGCCCUGGAGGUGUCCGC
rnacentral:rRNA from 1 species